UCCUGGCUCAGGAUGAACGCUAGCGGCAGGCCUAAUACAUGCAAGUCGAACGAUACCAGAGAGCUUGCGUUUCUGGGAAAGUGGCGCACGGGUGCGUAACGCGUAUGCAACCUACCUUAAUCAGGGGGAUAGCCUCUCGAAAGAGAGAUUAACACCGCAUAAAAUCACACUUCGGCAUCGAAGAAUGAUCAAAUAUUUAUAGGAUUAAGAUGGGCAUGCGUGACAUUAGCUAGUUGGUAAGGUAACGGCUUACCAAGGCUACGAUGUCUAGGGGGAUCUGAGAGGAUGACCCCCCACACUGGUACUGAGACACGGACCAGACUCCUACGGGAGGCAGCAGUAAGGAAUAUUGGUCAAUGGGGGCAACCCUGAACCAGCCAUGCCGCGUGCAGGAAGACGGCCCUACGGGUUGUAAACUGCUUUUAUACGGGAAUAAAUCUCGCUACGUGUAGUGAGUUGAAUGUACUGUAAGAAUAAGGAUCGGCUAACUCCGUG
rnacentral:rRNA from 1 species